CAGCCGCCACGGGAAUACGAAGGGGGCUAGCGUUGCUCGGAAUGACUGGGCGUAAAGGGCGCGUAGGCGGAUUGCGCAGUCAGAUGUGAAAUUCCUGGGCUUAACCUGGGGGCUGCAUUUGAGACGCGUAGUCUAGAGUGUGAAAGAGGGUCGUGGAAUUCCCAGUGUAGAGGUGAAAUUCGUAGAUAUUGGGAAGAACACCGGUGGCGAAGGCGGCGACCUGGUUCAUAACUGACGCUGAGGCGCGAAAGCGUGGGGAGCAAACAGGAUUAGAUACCCCCGUAGUCCCUGUCUCUUAUAC
rnacentral:rRNA from 1 species